AGGUCAGCAGGAGGGAUCAUAGAAUUCCAUUCAGGUCAGCAGGAGGGAUCAUAGAAUUCCAUUCAGGUCACAGGAGGGAUCAUAGAGAUUCCAUUCAGGUCAGCAGGAGGAUCAUAGAUUCCAUUCAGGUCAGCAGGAGGGAUCAUAGAAUUCCAUUCAGGUCAGCAGGAGGGAUCAUAGAUUCCAUUCAGGUCAGCAGGAGGGAUCAUAGGAUUCCAUUCAGGUCAGCAGGAGGGAUCAUAAGAUUCCAUUCAGGUCAGCAGGAGGGAUCAUAGAAUUCCAUUCAGGUCAGCAGGAAGGAUCAUAGAAUUCCUUCAGGUCAGCAAGAGGGAUCAUAAGAUUCCAUUCAGGUCAGCAGGAGGGAUCAUAAGAUUCCAUUCAGGUCAGCAGGAAG